rnacentral:rRNA from 1 species
CCUACGGGAGGCAGCAGUGAGGAAUAUUGGUCAAUGGACGAGAGUCUGAACCAGCCAAGUAGCGUGAAGGAUGACUGCCCUAUGGGUUGUAAACUUCUUUUAUAAAGGAGUAAAACGAGGCACGUGUGCCUUUUUGCAUGUACUUUAUGAAUAAGGAUCGGCUAACUCCGUGCCAGCAGCCGCGGUAAUACGGAGGAUGCGAGCGUUAGCCGGAUUUAUUGGGUUUAAAGGGUGCGUAGGCGGGCAUUUAAGCCGGAGGUAAAAUUUCGGGGCUCAACCACGUCGUGCCGUUGAAACUGGAGUUCUUGAGUGAGCGAGAAGUAUGCGGAAUGCGUGGUGUAGCGGUGAAAUGCAUAGAUAUCACGCAGAACUCCGAUGGCGAAGGCAGCAUACCGGCGCUCAACUGACGCUCAGGCACGAAAGCGUGGGUAUCGAACAGGAUUAGAUACCCCAGUAGUC